CAGAGAGAGAGAGAGAGACACACACACACACACACACACACACACACACACACACACACACACACACACACACACACACACACACACACACACACACACACACACACACACACACACACACACACACACACAGAGACAGAGACAGAGAGAGAGAGAGAGAGAGAGAGAGAGAGAGAGAGAGAGAGAGAGAGAGAGCUAGAGAGAGAGAGAGCGCGCGCGCGCUUGCCAGCUGUGUGGACUCUCCGUCCUGAAGGCUGAAUCUCGCGGUGGUGAAAGCAUCUCCUCCUCCUCCCGGUGACAACAGGUCCUCUGAUCCAGUGGGUGAGCGGUGGUCUCUCCUCACUGACACGUUGACGCGUCUCCGCAGGACACUUUGGACACUUUGGAUUUUCAUUAACGGCCCGAGAAAACGUUUGUACUUUUUAAAAAAGUUCGCCAGGAGACUUCCCCAAAACUUUUUGGGAGGAGAGAGAGAAUGAUUCUGCUAGGACACCAGCCGCCAGUCCAGUAAAACCAUGGAGUUGUACCCGGGCAGCGGGCGGUGGCGGUGGAGGAUCCAUCACGUCCUCCCAGUGGCCCUGCUGUGGAUCAGCCUGCACAGCCAAGGUAGGACCCCGCCCGCCGGCCGCCGGCCGCCGGCCCCAGGCGGAGCACUUUGAUUAGAACCAGAGGAGAUGGAAAGCAUCACGACAAAUGUACUUUAUUUUAGAGUAAAGGGACAUUAGACAAUUCCCACGGCUGAAAAUAUUCCAAUAAGAGUGGGAGUAGCUGUCAAAGCUGUCAACUGUUCUUGGUUCAAGUCUUUGAGAGGAGGAGAACUCGCUGCUCCAGCCCUGGAGUUGUGAAUGAUGGUCUUUGCUUCAGUAGACUAAAUCUGAGAGCUGUAUGCCGUCUAGAAAUAAAAUCCUUAAAAGAAGGCUUCUCUUUACAUUUUCGAAAGAACAAGGAAAGUGCAUAUACAUUUCCUUGAAUAAUAAAUAAAUAAGUUGAUAAUAAUAUGAAUUACUGUAGUAUUAAUCUAGUCAAUGUCUAAUUAAUAUCACCACUAUAUAAACAUAAUAACCACCUUCUUCAAGUAUAAAAUGAAUAAUUCUAUGCAUCAAUGAAUUACAUUUUAUAUAUUCCAGGGGUACAAUAGGGCAGAGUGAUCUUGAAAGAUAUGACAUUGUCUCCUAUCUUUCAGCAGACGGGGUUUUUUACUUUAUUGCUCACAGUUUGUAAAGAACAGUGAGUUUUGAAAAACCAAAGCAUAUUUCAUCAUUGUCGAUGCCCGGGCCGCAGUAGAAUAAUAAAAAAUGGUUGAGGUGGAGAUGUUCACAUGCACACACACACACAUACACACACACACACACACACACACACACACACACACACACACACACACACACACACACACACACACACACACACACACACACACACACACACACACACACACACACACACACACACACACACACACACACACACACACACACACACACACACACACACACAGA